UUAACGUAAAGUCAAGCAGCAAGACCGACUCACAAACAUCAGAAACGAAUCAGCUUCAGAUGAAUCUGGUACCGGAAAGAUUCUUUAGUCAAUCGGGGAACGGCCGUUCAAAUGCUCGUAUUCAACUGGACCAUACUAUUUGCAUCACUCGUGAAAGUAAAUGAAAUCCUGCGGUGAUUCAACUCACUGUGCUAUGUUGAAUAAAUUUGUAAUGGCUAUCGGUUGAGUGUAAUAAAUAUUUGAUCUCUUAA